GUUUAACGCUUCAAUGCGCGUGCAAGUAUGCAGUUUUAAAGCGUUUUCUUAUCAUAGGUAAAACACUAGAGCAUGCUGGAUAACGUAUUUCUAUCGGAGGUUUGUUGAUUUUAAUAUGCUACGAUUGUGUUCAAUUAAUCAUUUUUUAAAAAUUAUUAUUUUUACUAAAUCCUCUAAAUUAAUAACGCUGACGUCACCGUAUGGGCGAUCCCAAGGUCCAUUGCGAUUUUCCACUGGGUAAGUAGAAGGGUUCAUUAAUAGAGAUGGAUCCUCUUCUUACAUUUACACAUCAAAAACGGUUGGAUCAGGACAAGAAAUUGUGUUUAGAAACUUUAGAUUUGUAAGGUGGCCCUUUCUUAUGACGAGAAAUGAUAGAAGACAUUAUAAAAAAUAUAGCUUGAACUGCACCAAAUGUGCAAGCUAGCAAAGUUAGCUAAGUUAAUUGAAUUCAAGUUCAUUUUUGUCGCAUAUUAUCAUGUAAGGUACAAUCAUAGGGGAAUGUAAGAUUUUCAGAUUUUUAUUACAUAGCCCUCAACUAUCCUGUAGAAAAUUCAUGGCAUAGAGACUGAUAUAAGUGCAUGGUUAUUGUUGCAGUGACACUAAACACUAAACAGUUAACCUUAAAGUUAGCUGCUCAAUCGUUCUCGUUGUUUUGGUAGAAAGCAAUUAUGCCAAUAAGUUAUGUUGUGUUUGUUUACACUGUCUUAAGUGCACUCUAGAAAAUGUGUGUGUGUGUGUGUGUGUGUGUGGUGUAGAUUUCUCGAAAGAAGUUCAGGCCUUGCCCCUCCUGCCAAGCACCUAACCAGGUGAGCCGCAAAACCUGCAGCUCUUGUUUCGCAGCCAUCUCCCAAAAAAAGAAAGUAGCGGCCAAAAAAGUGACCCUGGACAGGAAGUGGGGGGAAAGGGUCCUAAAAAACAGAAAUGCAGGAAGAGUGGUGGACUCUGCCCAUAUUGCAGUGAAAAAACUAAGUGCAUUAGGCUAUGUCCCAAUUCUAUUUUCGCAAAGAAAGAUAAGGCCUCUGGAAAGUGGGUGUCUGAUGUGGUGACCCAUCUGCUACCCACUGAGGACAACCUAAAAAUUGUGGCCACCAUGAGAAAGGCCUACAAUUUUGUAUUGAUCAAAGAAGGGAACUCCACGACGACAUUGCCCGAUCCACACCCUCAGGCCCUGCCCGAUCCACACCCUCAGGCCCUG